rnacentral:tRNA from 1 species
GGGCGAUUAGCUCAGUUGGAAGAGCGCCUGCCUUACAAGCAGGAGGUCAGAAGUUCGAGCCUUCUAUCGCCCACCA